CUUGUGGCGGACUCAAACGUCUCAUUUUUUUCCAGAUAUGCGGAAUCAUUUUGAUCGAGACAUCGAAGUGACGAAAGAUUUAUUAGUUGCCGUUCUUUUUUUUGGCAUUGAGCGCGCAUGCGCGGUGAUUCAACAACGUGCAGUCGACAAUACACGCCAGUUACAGGACAUCGAGACAUCAGCCAUGCCUAACGAAAGCAGCAACGAAUGCAUGCCUCUUGACUUGAGCAUGAAGGCCGAAGCAAGACAGCGUACUAGCCGCGACGGUACCCGGGGCGCUUCAUCUACAUUGGGCGCCUACAGAACCAGGAUUUCCGAAGAAGCCUUGCGCUGCCCGGGGAACACGCAGCACACGCCCACGACCGACGACAUUUGCAACGUCGACGGUGUGACUGAAAAUGGAAGCACAAGUUACCAGCACCUGGGUUUCAUGGGCGACAUCGAUCACGCAAUGCCCAGCACAAGCCGCGCAUCAGCCAGUUUUGAAGACGGUGCCAUGAAUGCUACUGAAGCCGGAGGAAGAAAGCAGCAAGUGUCCUGCGACGCCAGUAGGAAGGUUUCCAGCAGACGGGAUGCCUCACACGGGCAGCCCAACGAACGUACGGCAGGCACAGCGCCCAUGCUCAGAGCACGCGAUCAAUCGCCUGUCAAGAAGUCGUACCACAAAUGCGAAGCAUGCGGUAAAUUGCUAAGUAGCGGUGCUACUCUAACUGCGCAUACCGCACGCACACAGGAGAAAGACCCUAAAAAUGGGGAAUAUGUCAUAAAUUGUUCGCGCACAGGAACAGUUUCGAUACGGAUCAACUGGUUCACACAGGAUUGAAACCCCAUAUCUGCCAAAACUCUACUAAACCAUUCAAAAGCAAAGAGGAACUUAAAAUUCAUCUUAUGUCCCACAGUGAUGACAGACCUUUCAUUUGCGACAUAUGUAAUUUCUCCUUUAAGCAUAACUCAACUUUGAGAAAACACCGCAAAACAAUUCACGAGAGUAAAUAGCCGUACGAGUCCUAGCAGUGUGGAUUUCGGUUCGCAAUGAAAGAAAACCUACACGUCCACCUCUGCAAAAAUAUUUGGUUUCGAAUUGUGUGGAGAGUCGUUUAGAGAUGCAGCUCAAAUGGUUUCAGAUCACGUGACGCUAACGGGUGGGCAGUCAUAACAGUGUGACUAGUGCACAAGGGAAGUAGAUCGCCCACGUGUUUUGCAUAGGAACGUGACCGGGAAGCCGUGCAGGAAAAUAACGCUGACAUUCUCCCACACUGACGAGAAACUAACUGACCGCAUCGUGGCGAGAGGGGCUUCUUUUGGCGUUUAAAAGUGCAAAGUGAAAUGCAAGACGUAAAUGCCACUACAUUUUUCUAAAUUACGUGACAGAACGUCAUCUCCACCAUAAUUUGGCAUGCUUCCAUGUCGAUGUAUACUGCAGAUCCUGGGUAGAGCUCACUGUUUGCAAAACUAUGUUGUUAUCGCCAACAUAACUUUAGCAAACUCAUUCCUAGACAAACCAUAAUGGGCUGCAGCUUUGUGUUUGCGUAAAUAGAAGGUUGAAUGUUUGCCCAGGAUCCUUGAAACCUCGUUCAGUUUUCUGCAAGCGUUUUGACAGUGUACUAGUAAUUAAGGUUUAGGUAACCAUGCUUUAAGGAUUCUGCAGUUUGAAUAGAAGGGAGUACUUCACAUGAGGAACCCAUUCAAAAAGGAGGCACUUCGUUGUUGUCAACUCAAAACUAAUCUCUAAUAAUUGAGGCCCUUCGGUCUUGCUGCCUUUCUGGGACAGCUUUUAAAAUAUAUGCACACAGCCAUGGGAAAAUUUGUUUAGUUUACGAAUUAUUCAAUGCGGGUAAUGUUUCUAUUCUCUCUUUCGCUCUUCUAUGCUUACCGAAAAUUUAAUUCCUUAUCAUACUGAUUACAACAGGGACUCUUUAUUCGACUCAAAUCAUUUGGAACUUAACCAUAUAUCUUCUUCAAGAGCGAAUAUUUUAUGUAUUGUUGUAUUCACGUGUAACCUCCAUCAGUUUUAAUAUGCAGUUUCUUAUUCACUCGGAAGUCAUCUCUUUUGACUUGCCCUGCGCUCUAACGACAGCAGUGGAAUUUUUUACCCUGAUCUGACAAACGUGACCCUGCGAGCAAUGAUAGGACAACUCAGACAGUUUUUAGUUAUUAUUACUGACCCACGUACUUCUAUAUCUUUUUGCAAUGUACGGGUCUCACCGAAUAACAAAGGUAAAGUUACAGCUCAGGGUAUGAGACACCAGCGUGUAUCAGAACAUUCUGCAAUAGUGGAGCGUUUUGUAAUCAAAUUGCAGGCGUAAGGCGUAUACAGUUGUGCAUUCUGGAAGAAACGCGAGCGCCAAUGAUAAGGCUGGAAUCUAUUACGAAAAAAAGGGCGAAUAGCCGAUACUUGUUACUCGCAAAACAUUUGUUCAACGAUCGACUCAUGUGCCCGGGACUAUCGUUCUGCCCGACUGUAACUUGUUUUGUUGGUUCAGAGCUACGCCCAAUAAAGAUUCUUUCAUGACUCA